AGAGUUUGAUCAUGGCUCAGAUUGAACGCUGGCGGCAGGCCUAACACAUGCAAGUCGAGCGGUAGCACGGGAGAGCUUGCUCUCUGGGUGACGAGCGGCGGACGGGUGAGUAAUGUCUGGGAAACUGCCUGAUGGAGGGGGAUAACUACUGGAAACGGUAGCUAAUACCGCAUAACGUCUACGGACCAAAGUGGGGGACCUUCGGGCCUCACGCCAUCAGAUGUGCCCAGAUGGGAUUAGCUAGUAGGUGGGGUAAUGGCUCACCUAGGCGACGAUCCCUAGCUGGUCUGAGAGGAUGACCAGCCACACUGGAACUGAGACACGGUCCAGACUCCUACGGGAGGCAGCAGUGGGGAAUAUUGCACAAUGGGCGCAAGCCUGAUGCAGCCAUGCCGCGUGUGUGAAGAAGGCCUUCGGGUUGUAAAGCACUUUCAGCGAGGAGGAAGGGCGAUGUCUUAAUACGGCAUCGCAUUGACGUUACUCGCAGAAGAAGCACCGGCUAACUCCGUGCCAGCAGCCGCGGUAAUACGGAGGGUGCAAGCGUUAAUCGGAAUUACUGGGCGUAAAGCGCACGCAGGCGGUUUGUUAAGUCAGAUGUGAAAUCCCCGCGCUUAACGUGGGAACUGCAUUUGAAACUGGCAAGCUAGAGUCUCGUAGAGGGGGGUAGAAUUCCAGGUGUAGCGGUGAAAUGCGUAGAGAUCUGGAGGAAUACCGGUGGCGAAGGCGGCCCCCUGGACGAAGACUGACGCUCAGGUGCGAAAGCGUGGGGAGCAAACAGGAUUAGAUACCCUGGUAGUCCACGCUGUAAACGAUGUCGAUUUGGAGGUUGUGCCCUUGAGGCGUGGCUUCCGGAGCUAACGCGUUAAAUCGACCGCCUGGGGAGUACGGCCGCAAGGUUAAAACUCAAAUGAAUUGACGGGGGCCCGCACAAGCGGUGGAGCAUGUGGUUUAAUUCGAUGCAACGCGAAGAACCUUACCUACUCUUGACAUCCAGAGAACUUNGCGAGAGUAAGCGGACCUCAUAAAGUACGUCGUAGUCCGGAUUGGAGUCUGCAACUCGACUCCAUGAAGUCGGAAUCGCUAGUAAUCGUAGAUCAGAAUGCUACGGUGAAUACGUUCCCGGGCCUUGUACACACCGCCCGUCACACCAUGGGAGUGGGUUGCAAAAGAAGUAGGUAGCUUAACCUUCGGGAGGGCGCUUACCACUUUGUGAUUCAUGACUGGGGUGAAGUCGUAACAAGGUAACCGUAGGGGAACCUGCGGUUGGAUCACCU
rnacentral:rRNA from 1 species